rnacentral:rRNA from 1 species
CCUACGGGAGGCAGCAGUGGGGAAUAUUGCACAAUGGGGGAAACCCUGAUGCAGCGACGCCGCGUGAGUGAAGAAGUAUUUCGGUAUGUAAAGCGCUAUCAGCAGGGAAGAAAAUGACGGUACCUGAUUAAUAAGCCCCGGCUAACUACGUGCCAGCAGCCGCUGUAAUACGUAGGGCGCAAGCGUUCUCCGGAUUUACUGGGGGUAAAGGGAGCGUAGACGGCAGCACAAGUCUGGAGUGAAAAGCCCGGGGUUAACCCCGGGACUGCUUUGGAUACUGUGCAGCUAGAGGGCAGGAGAGGUAAGUGGAAUUCCUAGUGUAGCGGUGAAAUGCGUAGAUAUUAGGAGGAACACCAGUGGCGAAGGCAGCUUACUGGACUGUAACUGACGUUGAGGCUCGAAAGCGUGGGGAGCAAACAGGAUUAGAUACCCUUGUAGUC